GUCCCAGUAGCGCAAUGGGUAACGCGUUGCACUUCUAAUCUAAUGGUCGUGGAUUCGAAUACCACCUGGGAUG